rnacentral:rRNA from 1 species
UCCAGACUCCUACGGGAGGCAGCAGUGAGGAAUAUUGGUCAAUGGGCGGAAGCCUGAACCAGCCAAGUCGCGUGAGGGAAGAAGGCCCUGCGGGUCGCAGACCUCUUUGGACGGGGAGCAAGGCCGCCGACGUGUCGGCGGAAGGAGAGUACCCGUAGAACAAGCAUCGGCUAACUCCGUGCCAGCAGCCGCGGUAAUACGGAGGAUUCAAGCGUUAUCCGGAUUUAUUGGGUUUAAAGGGUGCGUAGGCGGUCGGAUAAGUUAGAGGUGAAAUCCCGAGGCUCAACUGCGGAAUUGCCUCUGAUACUGUUCGGCUAGAGAGUAGUUGCGGUAGGCGGAAUGUAUGGUGUAGCGGUGAAAUGCUUAGAGAUCAUACAGAACACCGAUUGCGAAGGCAGCUUACCAAGCUACUUCUGACGUUGAGGCACGAAAGCGUGGGGAGCAAACAGGAUUAGAUCCCCCCGUA